rnacentral:lncRNA from 1 species
UUAAGUCUCUGAACUUUUUGUUUUAGAGUGAGAAGCUCUGAGAAAAUUUAUUUUUGCUCCCAUUAACUUCGCACUCGGAGGCCUUCCAGGUCCCUCGCUCUUCUUCCCCCUCUCUCUCUCCCUCUCUUUCUCUCUCCCGUUAUUCCCCCCUCCUCUCCUUCUUUCUCUUCGCCGGCGGUUCCGUUAGAUCUCUUCUCUUCUCCGGCGAGGCCUUCUCUGACGGCUAUCCUUUCCAACUUUUCCUCUCUAUUUGCUGUU